rnacentral:rRNA from 1 species
AGUGAACGCUGGCGGUAGGCCUAACACAUGCAAGUCGAACGGCAGCACAGUAAGAGCUUGCUCUUACGGGUGGCGAGUGGCGGACGGGUGAGGAAUACAUCGGAAUCUACUUUUUCGUGGGGGAUAACGUAGGGAAACUUACGCUAAUACCGCAUACGACCUACGGGUGAAAGCAGGGGAUCUUCGGACCUUGCGCGAUUGAAUGAGCCGAUGUCGGAUUAGCUAGUUGGCGGGGUAAAGGCCCACCAAGGCGACGAUCCGUAGCUGGUCUGAGAGGAGGAUCAGCCACACUGGAGCUGAGACACGGCCCAGACUCCUACAGGAGGCAGCAGUGGGGAAUAUUGGACAAUGGGCGCAAGCCUGGUCCAGCCGUACCGCGUGGUUGAAGAAGUCCUUCGGGUUGUAAAGCCCUUUUGUUGGGAAAGAAAAGCAGCAGGUUAAUACCCCGCUGUUCUGACGGUACCCAAAGAAUAAGCACCGGCUAACUUCGUG